AAAAAAGUUAAAAAAAAUUGUUACUGGGUAUUAUACGCAGGCAUUUUUUUGCAUCAAAAUCUGAGGGGGAAAAGUGCGUCUAAUACCCAGUCAUUUACGAUGCGGCAAUGUAGCUGCAAUACUAGAGUUAGAUGAACAUUUACAGAGAGAUUUUACUAUAUUUGAAGCUGCUCCUCAGGAGCUUCGAGGAAUACUUACCAAAAAGCCCCAGCCAGACUAUUUCUUAUAAACGCAACAAAGCCUUCGUACAGAGAGCAACAUGUGAUAGGUGGCAAGAGACUGGUGCCAGGUUGGCAGACUGGUUUAAGGUGUUCAGACUGUGUUUUAAGCUAAAAACGUCUCAAUCUGUCUAUUAAAGGUUUUAUCUGGGAAGUCAAAAACAUUCAAAUGAUUGCCAGUAAGUGAUAGCACAGUAUUGUGUAUUUCACUGCAUUUCACUGUAUUAUUUAUGAAAAUAUUUUAGUAAUAAAUAUUCUGAUAAAUUCCAAUUAAAUUUCACCUUUAGUUACUUAUUUUCUCUGGCAAUACUUUGAUGUGUAUUGAUUUUAAGCGGAUUACUACAUGUGCAUAAUCAAUUCAAGAUUAGGCUAAUCAUUCAUGAUUGAUCAGACUAAAUUAAAUGUGUAUGUACAUUUUUAUUGAAGUUUGAAAAUACACAAAGGUACAUUUAAGUAUUAUGAAUAUAAGUGUGGUUAUACCGUACAUGUAUGUUUUUUUAGGAAUGAUAUUGUAUCAAAGUAUUGUUUAAAAAAAUUGAAAGGAUUCAGUCAUUUAUGGUGUUUUCAAAAGUUGAUAUUUAUUGCAAGUAAUUUUGUAAUUUUAAUUAACCAAUUGUAUUUUCAAUUUCCUAAUAGAAUAAUUUUGCCUUAUUGAUUCCACUGGAGGGAAUAUAAGACUGUAUUCAGAUAAAGGAAAUGCUGGUCAUUUUUACAUUGAUAAUGUUACAUAAAUAGUGUACUUAAACAUCCUUGUCAUCACUUAUAGAUGUAUGUAUCAAAGAAUCCCAAUGCAGACUUUGUAGUAUUUUAGUUCAUUGAAGAUGUGUUUAAUUGUUGUUUGACAUAUUUUAAUUUAACAUUGUGUAAAUCAAAUAUGUGACAUAUUUGAAUUUGUAUUUUAUGAAGAUCCUCAUGAUGUUAAUUUGUAAAUAUUUUCAUUUAAUUUACUUUAUUUCAAUUAAAACUAUUUUCAGUUACUAUGUUUUCUAAGUUGUAUGUUUAAGUACAUGUGUUCUUGUAAAUAUAAAGAAGGGCCAUUUGUUUGAAUCUGUCAUCUUACUGAUUUUAUUCUCAUGUGUGGUAUUAGUAAUAUGAUCAAAUAAAAGCAUCAAAGAGUAUGAACACAUA